UAAUUUCUACAGACCCAUAGCCGAGUUUAGGGCUCAGGAGACUCAGCUUUCUUCUUUUUCACCGCCAUAGCUUUUUCUUCGAAGUUCCUUCACUGGUGGUGCCGGUGCCAAUCGCGAAGGAAUCUUUUACCAUUUGUAGCCAUUUCGCUAAUCUGAACUUGAUUUCUUCAUAAUUUUCUUUGGAUUUUUCUACCUCCAAUUUGAUAACUUGUUCGGUAAUCCAAACCCUAAAUAUUUCUUCUUGCUAAUUCGCGGCUUCAGCUGUGUCGGCGAUGAUUAUAAGCGGUUGUCGAAUCUGAAAGCUCGUGUCUUGUUUCUUGGAGGUCGAGAGGUUGAUGCGGUAGGAAUUGCAUCAGAAAGUUAACUUCAGUAUGGGGUUUGACAACGAGUGCAUAUUGAAUAUUCAGUCUCUUGCUGGGGAGUAUUUCUGUCCAGUUUGCCGAUUGCUUGUUUAUCCACAUGAAGCGUUGCAGUCACAGUGUACUCACUUGUAUUGCAAGCCUUGUUUAACCUAUGUAGUUAGCACUACCAGGGCUUGCCCAUAUGACGGCUACUUGGUUACAGAAGCUGAUUCUAAGCCACUCAUUGAAUCAAAUAAAACUCUUGCUGAUACCAUCGGCAAAAUAGCCGUUCAUUGCCUGUAUCAUAGGAGUGGAUGCACUUGGCAAGGGCCACUGUCGGAUUGCGUAACUCAUUGUUCUGGAUGUGCAUUCGGCAAUUCCCCCGUCUUAUGCAAUCGAUGUGGAAUUCAGCUUGUACAUCGGCAAGUACAGGAGCAUGCACAAACUUGUCCGGGUGUACAGUCUCAAGCACAGCAAGCAGACGGUGCUCAGGGCACCACAACCAGUGGCACUGCAGCUGCUACUGAUCAGGCUCAGUCUGCUGGAAUGGCGAAGUCUCAAGCCCAAUCUUCGCAGAAUGUAGCAGCUAGUGCUCCUGCACAAGAUACCAAUCAGCAGGCUAACGCAAGUUCUCAGGGUCCGGCUGUUGCUGAAGCUGCUGUGCCGACUUCGGAGCAGUGGUAUCAACAGCAGCAACAACAGUAUCAGCAAUACUAUCAGCAGUAUCCUGGAUAUGAUUCUUAUCAACAGCAGUACCAGCACUACUACCCUUACCAGCAACAAGGAGGUGUUCCGUAUCAGCAGCCACAGCCAUCUCAGGCUCUUCCUUCACACGUGGCUACCCAGCAUCCAUCUCAGGCAUACAUUCAGCCCCAGACUCAGCCACAGCCACAGCCUCAAUCUCAAACCCAAGUUCCAGCCCAUCCCCAACCUCAAUCACAAUCCCAACCCCAACCCCAACCGCAGCCCCAAUCUCUGUCACAGCCUCAACCACCAACUCAGCCACAUGGACAAUCUCAAGUACACAUGCAUGUCCAAACGCCUGUGGUUGGCCAAUCUCAAAACCAGGGACAAGUCAACCCUCAGCAGCAGAUUUAUCAUGCUGCUGCAACUGCGCAUUCUCAGAUCCAACCGCAGGGUCACCCGCCAGCACAUGGCCAAGCACAACCACAACCACAACCUCAACCUCAACCUCAGUCAUAUCCCCAAGUUCAGCCCAAUUCGCAGCAACCUGUACACAUGCCUCAGUAUCAGCAGCCUCAUUCCCAGAUACCACAUUCCCAGGCCCAAAUUCAGCAACAGGUUCAUCCUCCUUUCCAUCCUCCGCACCAUUCUGUUUCUCAGCCACAGUCCCAGUUGCAAGCCCCAGCUCAACACCAUUCUCAGCUUCCUAACCCACAGAUCAAUCAGUCUCUAUCAAUGACACCUAAUGCACAACCCCAAAUGCAGAAUCAACCAACAUAUGCUGCAACAGGCUAUCCUUCUUAUCCCCAGCCACAGCAUCACCAGCAAAUGCAGUUGGGAGUUCCUCAAAAUGUCCUACCGGCGCAUGCGCAAGGUGGGGCUCACCAACAAUCCCAAUCGCUAGUUCAAAUGCAGUCUCAAUUGCCGCAGCCACCUCCCAUGCGCCCACCCCAACCUCCUCUGUACCAAAACCAGCAACAGCCACCGAUGUUGCCGUCCUCCAAUCAGGUACAAAAUGUUUCCGCAGCACAACAACUACAUAUACACUCCCACGCCCAACAGCCUGGAGGCCCUGGACAACCAGCCAGCCAGCGUCCUGUCAUGCCGCUAGUGCAACAGUCUGCAUCCCAGCAAGUUGUGCAUCAACACCAGCAUUUUGGACAGCAAGGGCAGUUUAUACAGAAUCAACUGCAUAUGACUCCCCAAAUGCGUCCACCUGGACCUCCUAAUUCUUUGUCACAACCUAAUCAUGGCUAUGCGCAUUUGCAGCACAACAUCAAUUUACCUCAUGGCAUGCAACACAAUCCUUCUCUAAACACUGAAGGAAGGUCUCUAGUGCCUAACCAAGGAGUACAAUCUAUUCCUUAUUCACAGUCCAUGGUUGGUGUUCCAAUGAGGCCAUUACAGCCUGGUGCUAACCAGCCAACUAUGAAACAGGGACACGUAUUUGGUAAUAAUGGUAACCAGGUGCAGUUGCCAGAUGGAUUUGCUGAACGCAAAUUAGAAAAAGGCCCGGAUGGACGAGACAGUGGAUCAUCUUCUCAAAAGGAUGCCAAAAGAGCUGGAAAUCAUUUGGAUGUGGCAUCGAAUCUGGGGGCAGAUGUUGGUGGGUUAAAGACUGAAAAAUCUUUAGCUAGCUUGAAGGUGCCCGAUGAUAAAGGUAGAUAUGCUAUUGGGGAUAAAUCUAUUCAGGCUGAUGCAUCUACCGAAAGUACUCCACAAAAUGGGGUUACGGACUCUAAUUUGCAUGUAGGUGACAGUGGUAAGGCCAAGCAGGUUGAGGUAAAGGUAGAGGCAACAGAAAGUACUUUUGAUCAUUCGAGCAAUGAUAAAUUGGGAGAAGUCGGUAUUCAGGACCAGAAAGAUCUUAGCACUGAACCGAAGAAAAUGGAGGAUCAUGUUAUUGAGAAUAAAGGAAAUCAGGAAGGUUUUCUUCAGAAGGUUCCAUCACAAGACACUGAACUACGUAGCAAGAGGAUUCCGACUGACACUAGUGGAACUCUUCACCCUUCCUCUGGUGCAGAUGAGGGCCAACAGGGUGCUACUACUACAUCAUCUUUAAUACUUGGUAGUCCUGAUAUGUUGAAUCAGCAUGGCUAUCAAGAUAAAAAUCCGCCUCAAACUGGUGGUACUCAAAUUGGCGCAGCACAGACUUCUCAUCCAGCUUCUCUAGUUGCCCAUACAAGACAUCAGACACCACCGAGUAGUUACGUGUCAUCUUCACUUCAACAAGGUGCGCUAGCACCUUUGUUACAGGCACCUCCUCCAGGACCCUAUCAUCAGGCGCAGGUUUCAAAUAAUCCAUCCAUGCAAGUUAGGCCACGGGCUCCUGGCUUGGGGGCUCAUCCUGGACAACCUUUCAAUCCAUCUGAACCGUUUCCUCCGGGUGGCAUUCCAGAAUCUGGUUCUGCUCCAUCUUUUGGUAGAGGGCCAGGUCACUAUGGUCCUCAGCAAGCUUUGGAGCGAUCCGUUGGUUCCCAAGCAACCUAUAGUCUAAGCCAACCAUCUGCUUCUCAAGGGGGCUCAAAGAUGUCUCUAGGUGAUCCUGUUGGGGCGCACUUCCGUUCAAAGCUUCCUGGGGCUUUCGAUACAAGGGGACAGCUGCAUUCUCAGCGUCCCAUUCAUCCUUCGGAGGCUGAGAUAUUUUCAAAUCAAAGGCCAAGACCUGAUUCUCAUCUUCCUGGGACCAUGGAACAUCGGCCACCACAUCUCACAGGGAUUCCUCCUAGUGUGUUGUCUUUGAAUGGUGCCCCAGGUCUGGACUCCUCUUCCAAACUUGGCUUGAGGGAUGAAAGGUUCAAGCUGAUGCAUGAAGAACAGUUGAACCCUUUCCCGCAAGAUACAGCUCGCCGUCCUAUUAAUCAGACAGAUGCUGAAGAUGUUCUCAGGCAAUUUCCCAGGCCUUCUCAUUUAGAAACUGAUCUUGCUCAGAGAAUUGGAAAUUACUCUUUGAGACCCUUUGACAGAGGAGUGCAUGGCCACAAUUAUGAUACUGGUUUAACCAUUGAUGGUGCUGCUGCUUCAAGAAUCUUGCCUCCUCGUCAUAUGGGUGGUGCAUUACAUCCUACAGAUGCUGAAAGACCAAUUGGUUUUUAUGAAGAUUCUAUUGGACCAGCAGACCGAUCUCGUGGGCAUUCUGACUUCCCUGUACCAGGUAGUUAUGGUCGGCGUUUUGUAGAUGGAUUUGGUCCAAGAAGUCCUCUUCAUGAGUAUCACGGACGUGGGUUUGGAGGUCAUCCUGGGUUUCCAGGUGUGGAGGAAAUUGAUGGUCAAGAAUUUCCUCGUCAUUUUGGUGAUCCACUUUCAUUCCGUGAGUCUAGAUUUCCUAUUUUUCGAAGCCAUCUGCAAAGAGGUGAUUUUGAGGGCCCUGGUAACUUUAGGAUUAGUGAACAUAUGAGAACUGGUGAUUUGAUUGGACAAGAUAGACAUUUUGGACCUCGAAGCAUGCCUGGGCAUUUACGUUUGGGUGAGCCAUCUGCUUUUGGCUCACAUCCCGGUCAUUCACGAAUAGGAGAUCUGUCUGUGCUUGGUAACUUUGAGCCAUUUGGUGGGGGGCAUAGGACAAAUCAUCCACGACUUGGCGAACCUGGGUUUAGAAGCAGUUUUUCUCGUCAGGGGCUUGCAGAGGAUGGUAGAUUUUUUGCAGGAGACGUUGAAUCUUUUGAUAACUCAAGGAAGCGGAAACCAACCAGCACGGGAUGGUGUAGGAUUUGUAAAGUUGAUUGUGAAACAGUUGAAGGCUUGGAGCUGCAUUCACAGACUAGAGAGCACCAGAAGAUGGCUAUGGAUAUGGUGCAGAGCAUCAAACAAAAUGCAAAGAAACAUAAAAUCACUCCAAAUGAUCAUUCCUCCGAAGAUGGCAAGUCAAAGAAUGUUGGUCAUGAGAGCCGUGGGAAAAAACAUUAAACUUGCAACUCUUCUCAUCACACUCAUGGACUACGUUUUACUGGGGCCAAUUUUGUUUCCCUGGUCUUGUUGCAUCUAGUGAUAUAGAUAUUUCAAUUCAACCUGUACUUUUCUGGGCGAAGAAGUCUACCAAAAUGCUGAAAGUUCAGUGGAAAGGUUAUCAAGUCAUCUUUGUUUGAGGUGGUAAGAACGUGUUUGAUGUAAAGAUGCAUUAGUUGCAAAUUUCUUUGCUAUGUUUCUAUUUAUUAACCUUACACUGUUGCUUAAAUUCUCUUUCUUGCACUAUUGACUCUUCUUUCACAGUAAUGUCAUAAAGUUUAGGUUCCAGCCA